rnacentral:tRNA from 1 species
GCCGGCGUAGCUCAGGUAGUCAGAGCGACGGACUCAUAAGCCGUAGGUCCCAAGUGCAAGUCUUGGCGCCGGCACCA